rnacentral:misc_RNA from 1 species
AGAAAGUGAGAAGAGCUGAGCGGCGGAGAGGAGGAGAGAGAUGAAGGUGUUCGUGAAGACGCUGAAGGGGACUCAUUUCGAGAUCCAAGUCAAUCCUGAUGACAAGGUUGCUGAUGUGAAAAAGAGCAUAGAAACUGCUCAAGGGAACAGUGUUUACCCGGCUGAAUCGCAGAUGCUCAUACAUCAAGGAAAGAUUCUUAAUGACCAGACAACGUUGGAUGAGAAUAAAGUUUCUGAAAAUAGUUUCAUUGUAAUUAUGCUGACUAAGGCAAAGGGUUCAUCUAGUGGAACUUCUGCCACUUCGAAGGUACCUUCAAAUCAGCCCCCACCUACUAGUACUGUGCCUCCCAUCCCUUCAACUCCAGCAUCAGCGUCACCUCAACUUCCUGCAUCAACCUUGACUCAAGUUCCCGCAAGUGCACCUACACCAACUGCAACAGCCGCGCCAUCACCUGCUGUUACUGUAGUCACUGAAACCGAUCCAUAUGGUCAAGCAGCAUCCAAUCUGGUUGCAGGAAGUAACUUUGAACAAACCAUUCAAUACAUUCUCGACAUGGGUGGAGGGACUUGGGACAGGGAGACUGUAGCUCGCGCCUUACGGGCUGCAUUCAACAAUCCCGAGAGAGCCGUUGAAUAUUUAUAUUCUGGAAUUCCUGAAAGUGCAGCCGCCCCUUCUGUGGCCGAAGUCGCCGAAGCACCUGCUGCUGGGCAAACUGCUGCCCUUCCAUCCCAGUUAGCACAACCACUACAACCUGCAGUCCCUUCCGGUGUGCCCAAUGCUAAUCCUUUGGACCUUUUCCCUCAGGGUAUACCUAGCAUCGGCUCCAAUCCUGGUGCGGGUAACCUUGAUUUUCUACGUAACAGUCCCCAGUUCCGCUACCUGCAAGCUAUGGUUCAGGCUAACCCUCAAAUCCUACAGCCAAUGCUUCAAGAGUUAGGGAAACAAAAUCCAAAUGUAAUGAGGCUCAUUCAGGAACAUCAGGCCGAAUUCCUUCGUCUGAUCAAUGAACCAGCUGAAGGAGCAGAGGGUGAUGUUCUGGGCCAGUUGCCAGCUGGUAUGCCACAAGCACUGUCUGUGACUCCAGAGGAGCGUGAAGCUAUAGAACGGCUUGAGGCAAUGGGCUUCGAUAGGGUGCUUGUGUUGGAGGUGUUCUUCGCUUGUAACAAGAAUGAGGAGCUUGCUGCGAAUUAUCUCCUAGAUCAUAUGCACGAGUUUGAAGACUGAUAUAAGCGGAGGUAAAACCUGAACAGUUUGAUCGAAAUCUAAGCCCGACUGCAACAAUGAUAACAACUUUGAAAGAGGGUUGGGAUCUGGGUACUUUAUGUAUGAUUUUAUUUUUCUUUUCUGUGUCAUUGUGCUUCUGUUUGGGAGUUGAUUU